CAUUACCCAGAUGCCCCUGCGUCGUGCAUCUGCAAGCGCUGGGCCAAUGAAGGCCCUGGACAGACGCCUUUCUGAGAGGGGGGAAUCGCCCAGACGGGACUUCCGGCUUCUCUUGGCAGUGGUCCUUUUUAUCACUCUUGAGCCUGGCCGUUUGAUCCGAUUCUUAAAUAAUUGUUGGAGCCCAAGAUAAAGUGAGCGGGAGGCAUGAAAGUAAAUGUGUUCCCACCGACAGGCGGUGCUGAGACUUGGUGAGAGUGCUGCCUGGGGUGAUACUGUGUGUUUGGCUGAGCCUGCAGCACUGUGGCCUGGUUCCUGGCAACUCCCGGCUUUGCCUUGAGGGUCCUGUGUGCCCUGAUGGAGCCAGUGCAAGUUGGUACUGUAUCCCUCACAUCCACAUCAGUGGGAAUCCCAUCUCUGAAUCCCAAAGACCCGGAUGAGUCCCUAUGCACUUCGCUUUCAGUCACGCCCUUUGUUCGGGACUGUGGCGCCUUCCUGGCCGGGAUGCCCAUUUUUGACUUUCGGUGUGAUAAGGAGUUGAAUAGUGUUACAGGCAGAGGGACUGUCACGUGGAGAGGCUUGUAAGUGCUACUGAGUGGAGUGUUCGGGGAAACCUGCAGCCUGUUUCCUGUAUACAGGAAACAGUGAGUGGUGUGGCAGCCUGAGCAAUUAGGCUUUCAUUCUGAGGGCAUGGAGAGUUUUGAAUCGAGAGACCUGGUGUGAGAUAGGAUUUUAAAAGGUUCCCAAAGGCCGCUAAGUUGUGGAAGGGACUUUGGGGAGGGAUGAUGAGAGGAAGUGGGGAAAGUUUGAGAAAGUUCCUGUAACAGAGUCUGGGAGCACUACCAUGAGGCUGGACCAGAGGGGUAGCCAGAGGACUGUCAAAGUAAAACUCCCCCCUGGGCAAAGUUGAAACAAGGAAGGAAGACAAUUCAAGGCUAUUGCAGUAGGAGAGAGGGACUGAAUUCAACUCCAAUGAAAUGAAAGGCAGGAGGGUUUUUAAGUCCUGGAGUGAGCCAUUGGAAAAGUGCUGGAGGACGUCAGAUGGGGAGGUUGAUCAGUGGGAUCUGCGGGGCGCAGGGAGUUACUCCUGAGAUUGCACGUCCUUUUCUCUGUGAUUAAGACGUAUGUGUUUUCUAAUUGGUAUUUAUAGAAGUUAGACUUCUCCUGGCCCACGGAGACUGAGAUAGGGCUGCUGUGUCUUUUGGUGUUCACAUGGCAAAGAGAUGGUUCCCAAGUCCUUGAGAAAGUCAUUUCCUGGGUUGAAAACUGGGCCAGGAGAAGAUUUACAUAUAUUUGGGGGGAAAAAAAUGGAGAAAGAAUUUACAAUUGCAAGUUUCCUAAAGUAAAUGCUCUAAGAAAAGGGAGUUUAGGAGCCUAUAGUCAGGAAGAAACCUGAUUGACACUUAGUCAAGCUGAGGAAAUGCUAAGGCUGUCUUGGUAAGGGGGUAGAAAUGAUACAAGGUAGACGCUAAGGAAAGAGGACUAUCAUCUGCCCACCUGCCAAGGCCUAUCCUCCCUACCCCCUAUUUUUAGCUUAAUGAACUUAAGGAACACCAUUUGUUUUAAAAUUAAGCAAUCACUGUUUCUCUAAAUGUGUUCCUAUAGGUAGUCAAUUAAAAUUUAAAAUGGAUUUAGCAAGGUAAAUUAAAAAAAAAUUUUUUUUAACCUUUAUUUUUGAGAAGGAGACAGUGCGAGCGGGGGAGGAGCAGAGAGAAAGGGAGUCAGAAUCUGAAGCAGGCUCCAGGCUCCAAGCUGUCAGCACAGAGCCCGAUACAGGGCUCAAACUCACAAACCAUGAGAUCAUGACAAAGUCAGAUGCUUAACCGAUGGAGCCACCCAGGUGCCCUGAGCAAGGGACCCAUGGCUGCAGAAAUGUUUGUGGAUCAUGCACAGUAGGAAUAAUUUUCAGAGGGAAUAUCAGGAGUUUGGUUCAAACCUGUUGAGUGUGAGAAGUUCCGGAGACUUCUGAGUGGAGGCAUUGAAUGGACGGCAAGAUGCACAUGUCUGGAUUUGAGGACUGCUCCAUCCAACAACAGAAUACACUUUCUUUUCAAGUACCCAAGAGAUGUUCACCAAGAUCACCAUAUUCUAGGAACUAAAAUCUCAACAAAUUUAAAAUGAUUAAAAUCAUGAAUGUAUUUCUCUGGUCACAAAGAAAUUAUACUAGAAGUCAUUAAAGUACAUGAUCUGGGAAAAUCCAUGAACAUUUGGAAAUUAGACAACAUAUUAAUGAAGCCUCAGACACAGAAUAAUAAGGCAAAUUAAAAAUACUUUUAACUGAAUGAAAAUGAAAAUCCAAUAUAGAAUUGAUACAUCUGCAAGUACAAAUAGAUGAAUCCACUAUUAUAGUUGAAGACUUCAACACCCCUCUACAAAAAAAUGAACAGAUCUAACGGGCAGAAAAUCAAUGAGGACAUAACUGAGCUUAAGAGCACCAUCAGUUAUUUAUUCUGGUGUACAUAGCAUCUAUAGACUAUGUCAUCCAACAGUCGUAGAAUACACAUUCUUCUCAAAUGUGGAAUAUUCACCAAAGAGACCGCAUUCUGAGUCAUAAAACACAAUUUAAACUUAAAAGAAUAGAAAUCAUGUAACAUGUUUUCAGACUACCAUGGAAUUAAACUAGAAAAGAUAGCUAGAAAAUCUCAGAAUAUGUGGAGAUUAAACAACACAUUUCUAAACAAUGCGUGGAUCGAAGAGGAACUUUCAAGAGAAAUUUUAAAAUAUUUUGAAAUAAAUGAAAUGAAAAUAUAAUCUACCUAAAUUUGUGGGAUGAAGAAAAAUCUAAAAUCAGUCAUCUAAACCAGAAACUUUAGCAAUUGAAGAAAGAAAGGAAAAUUAAAUCCAAAGUAAGAAGAAAAGAAAUAAUAAGAGGGUAGAAGUCAAUGAAAUUGAAAACAGGAAAUCAACAGAUAAAAUCAACAAAACCAAAAACUAAUUAUUUGAAAUAUCAACAAAAUCAAUAAGCUUCUAACUGGGCUAGUUCAAAAGAGAGAAGACACAAAUUACUAAUAUCAGAAAUGAAAGAGUUCACAGCACUACAGACUCCAUGGAUACUAAAAGGAUAAUAAAAGAAUAUUAUAAACAACUCUAUCCCACAAAUUUAAUAACUUAGAUGAAAUGAACCGAUUCCUUAAAAGACACAGUCUGCCAAAAUUCACGCAAGAAAAAACAAACUGAAUAGGCUUUUUAUGUCUAUUAAAGAGUUUGAAUCAAUAUUUAAUAAUCUUCCAAAACAGAAAGUACCAGCCCCAAGUAGUUUCACUGGUGAGUUCUACCAAAUAUUUAAGAAGUUAUAUCAUUUCUCUACAAUCUCAUUCAGAGGAUAGAGGCAGAAGGGAUACUUUCUAAUUCAUUCUAUGAGGCCAGCAUUGCCCAAAUACCAAUGUUAGACAAAGACAUUACAAGAAAAAAACUACAGAUCAAUAUCUCCCAUGAACAUAAGUACAAAAAUCAACAAAAUAUUAGCAAAUCAAAUCCAACAAGGUAUGAGAAGUUCUACACCUCAGCCAAGUGGGAUUUAUUCCAAGGAUGCAGUCUGACAUUGGAAAGUCAAUUAAUGUCAUCCAUCACAUCAACAGACUAAAGGAUAAAAAUCGCAUGAUCAUAUCAAUAGAUGCAUAAAAGAGUAUAUGACAAAAAUCUAGCAUUCAUUCAUUAUUUUAAAAAACCUCAGCAAAGUAGAAAUAGAGGAGAGCUUUCUCAGCUUUAUAUUGAACAGCUUCAAAAACACUACAAAUAACAUCAUACUUAAUGGUGAGCAGCUAGAAGCUUUCCUGCUAAGAUCAGAAACAAGGUAAGAAUAUGCUUUCUCAUCAUUCCUUUUCAGCAUAGUAUGGGAAGUCCUAACUCAGGCAAUAAGGGAAGGAAAGGAAAUAGAAAUAUUUAGGUUGGGAAGGAAGAAAUGAAAAUCUUUGUUUGUAGGUGACUAUAUUGUCUGUAUAGAAAAUCCUAAAUAAUCAAGAAAAAAAGAACUCCUGGAAUUAAUAAGUGAUUAUAGCAAAGUUUCAGAAUAUAAGUUAAUAUUCAAAAGUGUUAACUGCUUUCGUAUAUACCAGCAAUGAACAAUUGGAAUUUAACAUUAAAAAUAAUACCAUUUAUAUUAGCAUCCCCCAAAAUGAAAUACUUGAGUGUAAAUGUAACUAUAUAUAUAGAUGUAUAUAAGAUGUUUGUGAGUAAAACUACAAAACCAAUGAAUGGAAUUAAAGAACUAAAUAAAUGUAGAGAUACUCCAUGUUCAUGGAUAGGAAGAUUCAGUAUAGUCAAGAUGUCAGUUCUUCCCAACUUGAUCUAUAGAUUAAAUGCAAUCACAGUGUAAAUCCUAGCAAGUCAUUUUGUGGAUAUUGGCAAACUGAUCCUUAAGUUUAAGUUUGUAUGAAGAGGCAAAGGAUCUGGAAUACCCAGCAUAAUAUUGAAGGAGAACAGAGGACUGACAAUAUGUAGUAUAAAGCUAUAGUAAUCGAGACAGUAGGGUAUUGGUGAAAAAAUAGACAGAUAAAUGGAACAGAAAAGAAAGCCCAGAAGUAGACCCACAUAAAUAUCGUCAACUGAUUUUUGGCAAAGCAGCAAAGGUAAUUCAGUGGGAAAAAGAUAGUCUUUUCUAUAGUUGCUGCUGGACAAUUGAACAUCCACAUCUAAAAAAAAAGUAAUCUGGACACAGACCUUAUACCCUUCACAAAAAUUAACUCAGGAUGGUCACAAACCUAAAUGUAGGAAACCAAACCAAACAAAAAACCCACAAAAACUCCUAGAAGAUGGAGAAUUAAAGAGACCUUGGGUUUGGUGAUGAUUAUUUAUUUAUUUAUUUAUUUUUAUUUAUUUAAAAAAAUUUUUUUUACAUUUACUUAUUUUUGAUAGAGACAGAGCACA